rnacentral:rRNA from 1 species
AUUGAACGCUGGCGGCAUGCCUUACACAUGCAAGUCGAACGGUAACAGGUCUUCGGAUGCUGACGAGUGGCGAACGGGUGAGUAAUACAUCGGAACGUGCCCGAUCGUGGGGGAUAACGAGGCGAAAGCUUUGCUAAUACCGCAUACGAUCUACGGAUGAAAGCGGGGGAUCUUCGGACCUCGCGCGGACGGAGCGGCCGAUGGCAGAUUAGGUAGUUGGUGGGAUAAAAGCUUACCAAGCCGACGAUCUGUAGCUGGUCUGAGAGGAUGAUCAGCCACACUGGGACUGAGACACGGCCCAGACUCCUACGGGAGGCAGCGGUGGGGAAUUUUGGACAAUAGGCGAAAGCCUGAUCCAGCCAUGCCGCGUGCAGGAUGAAGGCCUUCGGGUUGUAAACUGCUUUUGUACGGAACGAAAAGCCUCUUUCUAAUAAAGAGGGGUCAUGACGGUACCGUAAGAAUAAGCACCGGCUAACUACGUG